rnacentral:rRNA from 2 species
GCUUUAAAUUUUCUAUUUUUAAACCAAAUUUACUUUUUUACCUUUGUUUAUCUAGGAAGAGAAAGUUAAUAAGCUCUAAAUUUAAUAAAUAAAAAUAAAAUUUUCAACUCGCAAUCCUCAGGAUUUAUAGGAGAAAAUUAAAUAAAUAAGACCUAAUUUUAUUAAGAACAGUAAAAAAUAGAAUAAAUUAAAGC